ensembl:lncRNA LINC02241 long intergenic non-protein coding RNA 2241
GUACAAGCUCUCGCCUGCCGCCAUGUAAACGUUCUUUGCUCCUGCUUCGUCUUCUGCCGUGAUUGUGAGGCCUCCCCAGCCAUGUGGAACUACUCAUCACUCACUGCAGAUGUUACUUUAAGACAUUCUGGAGCAGCGUCAUGUGCAGCUAUAUUAUUUCCCUUAUGUUGGACCAUAAAUCUAAAAUUGUAAUUAAAUGUCCAUCCUCCAAAAACGGAAAUGCAAGCAUGUACAUGUCUUUAGAGGUGCGUAGUGCCUCCGCCCAUCUCUCUCUUGCUCCUGGUCUCAUCGUGACGGGCCUGGUCCUGCCUCACUUUAUGCCACGACUAAGAGCUCCCUGAGGCCUCUCCAGAAGCAGAUAUCACUAUGCUUCCUACACAGCCUGCAGAACCGAACAAUAAGGAAGUGAGUGCUUUUGUAAUUCCUGAACAACUGUGUCUUACACUUACUAAGGCAAUCUGGGUGUUAUGAAAGAUGUAGACCAACAGAAACACUCAUACCUUUCUGGUGACAAUAAAACUUUGUACAUUUAUUUUGGAAAACCCUAUUUUAGUGCCUUAUAAAAUUGAGCAUUAGAUAAUUAUGGCCCAGAUGCUCCAACGAGAAGUGUAUACUUAAGAGAUGAAUGCCUGUGUGCACCAGAAGACAUGCACAGACAGGCAUGAUUAUAACAACUUUAUUCAUAACAGACCUGAAUUGCAUCAAAUGUUCAACAAAUGAAUAGAUAAACAAAUUAUGCUAUAUAUUAAUAGGAAGGAAUACUACUCAAAAAAAAUAGGCAAACUGCAGACAACAUUUUAAAAUAUAUUGAGUUAAAGAAAUGAGAUACAGAAAAGUACAUACUGCAUGAUACAAUUUAUAUGAAAUUCAAAGACAAGCAAAUGAAUCUAUGGUGAUAGAUCUGGAAGUCAGUAACUGAAAAAGAGCAUGAAAGUAUCUUGGGUCAGGGCAAUGCUAGGUGUCUUGAGAAACAUAGUAAUUUCCUUGGUGUAUAGAAUUGUAAUAUAUCAUCAAGCUCAAGAAUAUGUCUUAUUCAAUAACAAUAACAAAACAAGUAAAAA